CGCUGGCGGUAGGCUUAACACAUGCAAGUCGUGCGAGAAAGUAUCUUCGGAUAUGAGUAGAGCGGCGGACGGGUGAGUAACGCGUAGGAAUCUACCUAGUAGAAGGGGAUAGCCCGGGGAAACCCGGAUUAAUACCGUAUACCUCCUUCGGGAGAAAGAAGGCCUCUCUUUGAAGCUUUCGCUACUAGAUGAGCCUGCGUAAGAUUAGCUUGUUGGUGAGGUAAAGGCUCACCAAGGCGACGAUCUUUAGCUGGUCUGAGAGGACGAUCAGCCACAUUGGGACUGAGACACGGCCCAGACUCCUACGGGAGGCAGCAGUGGGGAAUAUUGGACAAUGGGCGCAAGCCUGAUCCAGCCAUACCGCGUGUGUGAAGAAGGCCUUCGGGUUGUAAAGCACUUUAAGCAGGGAGAAAAAGUUAUAAGUUAAUACCUUAUAACCCUGAUGUUACCUGCAGAAUAAGCACCGGCUAAUUCCGUGCCAGCAGCCGCGGUAAUACGGAAGGUGCAAGCGUUAAUCGGAAUUACUGGGCGUAAAGCGCGCGUAGGUGGUUUGUUAAGUUGGAUGUGAAAGCCCUGGGCUCAACCUAGGAACUGCAUCCAAAACUAACUCACUAGAGUACGAUAGAGGGAGGUAGAAUUCAUAGUGUAGCGGUGGAAUGCGUAGAUAUUAUGAAGAAUACCAGUGGCGAAGGCGGCCUCCUGGAUCUGUACUGACACUGAGGUGCGAAAGCGUGGGUAGCGAACAGGAUUAGAUACCCUGGUAGUCCACGCCGUAAACGAUGACAACUAGCUGUUGGGAGACAAUGUC
rnacentral:rRNA from 1 species